GCUAGUAUAGCUUAACUAAAGCAUGGCAUUGAAAAUGCUAAGAUAAAUAUUAAUAAAUUUUGCAAGCA
rnacentral:tRNA from 1 species